AGACGCGAGUCGAUUCCAUGUUUUCAGGGAUGGAGUGUGUUCUUGCGGAGACUUUUGGUGAUUUUGGAGCUUGGAGAGCUUUUACGAUUCGUCACAACGGUAAAAGUCCUCCAAGUGAAAAUCACGACUUUUCUACUAGAGACAUCAUAAAAAUUCGUGAUCAAGCACAUUGCGUCAUUGGAACUGGCGAAAAAGAGAAGAGAUGGAUUUUUUUUUCUUA